ensembl:snoRNA SNORA70 Small nucleolar RNA SNORA70
CUGCAGCUAACUAAACCGACCACGUUCCUUUCCUCAUGGGGGCCUGGUCUGCAGUGGCUGCAAACAGCAGCCUCCUCAGUAGUGUAUGCAGCUUGUUGCUUGUAUGGAUUGCUCUAAGGCAGUGGUUCUUAACCU